CUUUCAAGUUUUGUGCAGUGAGCGCCUAAAUCAAGACAAUGUUGUUACAUCCGAGCAAGCUCCGGAAAACUCUGAUCAUAGGCUUAUAUCAAGUCAGCAAGGAGGGUAAAGCCAGGGAUACUAGGUGUGAUGCAGCACUGAAAGAUGUCCAGGACUGAGGGUGAAGGACGAGUGUCUGUUGGGUAGCCAUCGGGGAAACGCUGUUUUCCCGCACAACAAUUCUGCGGACGGAACCGAGCUCCAAAGCGCCGACUGCACCGCGGGCGAGAUGCACGGAACAGCCCGGAGCGGUAUCGGUCGGUCAGAAAGCCGGAGCCGCCCCUGGGGAAAUGUGUGCGCGAGUAAAGAGGUGCCUAACAGUGUCCGGUCUCCUUUCGGAGUGGAGCCGGUGACUUUCGGAGAAGCUCCGGCUGACCCAUGUUUCCAAAAAGCAAUGCAGGAUGCUCAGUUUUAAAACAAAGCACUGACGCUGCUCCCCCAACAUAAGGUCACCAGGAAGACUGGACUCACUACAACAGACUGGUAAAAGAUCUCCAGCAUCCUGCCACACACACUGAAGGAUCUCAGCUUCCUUAGAAAAUAGAGUCUGCUCGUCCCCUUCUUGUUAACAGCCUUGGUGUUGGUUUUCCAGACAAGUCUGUCGUUCAAGUAUGAAGAUGUAAUAAAAAAACAAAUAGUGAGUUGGUCAGGCUGCAUCUGCGGAGACAGAAACAGUUGAUGGUGGUGACCUUUCUUUCGAAUGUUCUCACUGUUGUAACAUGAACGAAGUCACUGGAGAGAUGCAGCUGAUAAAGCAGACUUUUAUUCAACAAAAUGAGACUCCCUCUGAAGGAAGAGGCCUGUUCGACCCGAUAUGACAUGACAUUAUAUAUGCUAAAGAUCAAAGGACAAUUCUGUAUUUACAAUGUAUCUACAAUGCUUCCUUUGCAUCACAUAUAACCUUCGCACCCCCUUCUUGGCACCCACAUUCCAGACACCCAAAAUGACUGUUAAUCAGCAUUGACUGGUUUUUCAAUUAACUGCUGUUCACUGCUCUAGGAACCUAUUGUCCAGGGCUGCUUUUUCAGUGUUAUCUGCAGUCCAUGUUCAGGUCUAAAGAUUGGUUGCUGAAGUUAAUAUUUUGCUAUACACCUAAGUCCAGAAUAUGCCCUAACAUUCACAAAAGUUCAUUCACACAAAUAUUAACUUUGUGCACCUCCAGCGUUUUCUGUAUUUUCAGAUUUCCAACAUCUGCUUUUUUUUGCAUUUCAGUAAUGAAAUAAUAAUCAGAUGUGUACUUGUUACAUUCUAUUAUUGAAGACAGAUAUUCUGUCUGGUCAUGUGCACAAAAUAGUGAAGUUAGCGAGUCAGGGUGCGUGUAGAAUGUUGUAAUUUGAUACAGUUUGAAACUCAAAGCAUUUUCCCCAUAAAACAAUUAAUUAUAAAUGCUCAGUUCUAACCAUCUUACCAAUCAGAAUUAUUCUCUUUCAAAGUUCAAAAAAUUCAAAGUAAAUUUUAUUAUCAAAGUACAUAGAUAUCACCAUCUACAAUCCUGAGAUUCAUUUUCCUGGGGGCAUACUCAGCAAAUCUAUAGAACAGUAACUGUAACAGGAUCAAUGAAAGAUCAACCAGAGUGCAGAAGAAAACAAUCAGUGCAAAUGCAAAUAUAAAUAAAUAACAAGAACAUGAGAUAAUGAGAUAAAGAGUCCUUAAAGUGAGACCAUUAGUUGCAGGGACAUUUCUGUGAUGGGGCAAGUUUCUCAAUUAUAGCUUUUGCAAUAAGUGGGAAACAAAGCUUGUAAAAUAUAUGAUCACCUGAAGGGUAGAAAACGGGUAAAGAACCUGGCCUGGAGGUCUUGCCAAAUUUAACAUGUGGACCUCAUUAUUCUUCUCGUUUCCCAUUGAGUAGACUGUACAUUUGGUAGUCCGGUCAGCUGUCUGGUGGGGAAACCAGUGGCGAGGAGCCUUAUAAAGGGAUUUCUGGGGUCCGGCCUGCAGUAACUGAGAGACCAAGAUAGGUUUUGUAGAAUGUUGGGGAAUUGGACAUAAGCCAAGUUCAAACAUAAGUCAAGGAUCAAGGCUGAACUUUAUUUACCAUACCUUUAUUUAAAUGAAUUAGGUAUUUGCUGUGGUGAGUUGGUCAAGGUAUGACAUGCAAUAAAACAAAUACUCAACAAUUAUAAAGAUCAGAGGAUUAUACAAAAAAUAAAGUUGGAGGUUAAAAUAUAGAUAUGGAAUAAAAGACAUAAAUACAUUAUUAUGUAUGCAUAAAUACCAAUAUGUGUUUACAAUGUAAACAGCAUUAUAAAAAGGUUUGCAGUACAGUGCAGAGUCAGGGUUAUUAGACGGAGAAGAGUGAGGACAUAAACGAGUGGUUGAUCAGAUUAACUGCCUUGGGGAAGGUGACGUGAAGAUUUUGUUUCAGUCGACCUGUAGCACUUUUUAAAAAGGGAGCUUUGAGGAAAAGCCAUUUGCAGGGUGGGAGACGUCUGCAAUGAUUUCUAUCAUCCUGCCUGCUUCUUUGUCUCGGGCAAAGUCUACCGUCCUGCGGUGAUGGUAAACUGCAGCCAACGGCCUUUUCUGCUGACCUGGCGAAGUGAAGGUGACGUAAGUACUCAUUGGUGAACAGUGAUUGUUAUCAUGACUGGGAUUUGUCAUGGGUAAUCCGUGUAGUGGUAAACGAGAUAUUGACUGCUGCUGGAAUUUAAGUUAAUUUGGAAGUCCCUGGAAAACUGAUAGUGCUCUCUGCUGCCUGCAAAAUCCAGACUCCUGGAUGAUCUCGGGACAAGUGUUAUCCCAGAAUGAUUCCGUUCUCGGCAAGUCCAUUCCACCGAUCGAACACUGGAGGAGAAGCAAUUUCACCGAGGCUAGAAAAUUCUCACAGAACCUGAAAGGGUGGAUGCAGGGCAGACAUGUCCCUUAGCUGAGGAGUCCAGUGGACGCGGUUUCAGAAUAACAUUUAGGAGAGAAAUUAGGAAUUUUCUAACCUGGAGAGCUGUAGAGGCUCAGCCACUAACUGCAUCCAAAACAGGUCAUCAGAUAUCCAGACACUGAGGCAAUUGAGGAACAUGGGAAUAAUCCUGGAAUGUGAGAUUGAGUGAGAAAGUAACACAGUCUUGAUAAACGGCAGGAUAGCUGUGUGCAGUUAUAUAACCUACCCCUGCUUCUUAACUUCUCAAAAAUGAGUGCAGGAGGCAGCUUACCCACAGUAUGGUCUGGUGAAAGAUAUUCAGCUUAUUUAGUUGUCUCACCACUUCACUUUAAUCAGCUACUGGUGUGUCAGCUCCAAUCACCAUUUUAAGCUUGCUGGAGGCAAUCCAGUUUACAACCAUGACAUCCAUAAAUAAUCUAGAGUUCAACUGGAUAAACAUAAUCAAAAACAGCAGACUCAUUGUUUUGUUGAACGAGGAGCAGGAAUGCCUGUGACACCCGCCUUCUCGGAACCAAACACAUUAUUUCAAAAAAGUUGACUCAGUUCCUGAAAAACUAGUAACUCAAAUUGAAAUAAUAUCUACUUAAAACAAACUAUUGAUAAAAAUGAUGGAAUAAGUGUAUUUGGUACAAGGUAUUACUUCUCUUGGAGGGUGAAGCACCUCCAGGAGGACCACUACUUGGUUGUAGGGUUUGGAGGCCUGCGGUCCUCAAUGACCUGGAGAGCUCUGUUGGCUGGAGUCAGGGCCUUGUGCUUUGGCUCUCGGUAGGGUCACCCAUGCCAAACAGGUCAAAGGGUAGAGGCCAGACUAGGAGUGGCCCACCGGUCCUCAAGGUUCGGGGGUUCAGCUCAGGGCCAGCAACCCUGACUGGUUGAACAAAACUGUUAGGGAAACAGCAACGAGGAAUCCUUCUACAUCGGAGUGCGACGGUAUUCCUGAGUCUCCACCCGGGACUUGCAUGACUGACAGAGGUGAAAACCGAGAGGAAGUUACUGACAUGAUGAAGGAAGCCCUGAACACUGCCAGAGAUGGAGAGUCUUCAUUGUUGCCCUAAACGCCAGUGGCAUAAGAGGCAGUAUAUAAGAAAGUAUUAGGGGUGAGAAUUCUUGUGCCUACCGUGCAGGUUUGAUAGAAUUACUGUAAAUGACUGUUGGAAUAGACUAUUGCUUUAUUUCUGGAUUCUGCAGUGACAGACCAAGACAACGGAAGGCUGGACAUUGUCAUUAUUGUUUCUUUGAAGGAAAAAAGGAUUUCAAAUUCUGCCUGUUUGCGUCGAACGAUCAGCACAAAUGGUUGAUCGAAACUCCAUUUUGUCAUGGAUCGAUCCUGCCCUAAAAAUCACGUAGCCCUGCGUCUUUCAGUUUAACACAGAUUUUCAAUACGUUUAUAUGCAAAGCACAAGUGGGGCAGCUUGCAAAAUCUGAUUUUUUUUCAGUCUGUCAUUGAUCUGAGAGAGUAACUGUGCUUCCCCUUCACCGAUGCACCUGACUGAUGGAGAAUUCCUAGGCACACUCUGAUUUUAUUUCGGACAAUAUGAAAAUGAAUGCUCUGCUCUUUGUGACAGGCCCCUCUGUCUUAUUAAAUAGUUUGACUCAUGAGCAUUUAUAGCUGAAUAUCUUAAAAAAAAGAUGAAGGAAAAUAGAUUAACGUUAUUUGUUAAUUAUGCAUGUAAAUGUGCAGUGAAAUGUGUCACUUCUGUCAAAUCAAACCAGCUAUGUUUGUGUUGGGAGCAGCCCGUAAGUGCUUCCGGCGCCAGCAGAGCUUUCCCACAACUCACGAGCCCUCACCGUAUGUCAUUGAAACGUGCGGGAAAACUAGAGCACCCUGGGAAAGCCCAGGCUGGUAUAGGGAGAUCGUACAAACUCCUCACACUCCGACACUGACACAAUCUGUGUCACUGGGAGUUUUGAAACUCCCCCUCUGAUCACUGCUUAUGCAUCAACCAGAGUCCUGAUAUAAUCCUCUGUUUGGUGUAUGCAUUCUGAAUUCACUCGGUCUCUGUUUCUUGCUCUGCAUGCACACACUAGGACACAGUUGCCCAUGCUCCUGUUAAAUUUGCCUUCAUACAAGUUGCAUUAACUUGGGAAGAAGGGACUGAAGCAGUGAGGCGGGUAUGGGGGCAGAUGGAAAGGACGUUGGCCUAAUGGAUAAAUGUCUGCUGGUGGCUUUGUGGUGGGGGGAGAAGAGAGAGAGAGAGAGAGAGAGAGAGCAAAAACCUGUAUGAGCUGGGAGGAUGUGCUGAUGUAGAGUGUGAGAGAGCAACUGGUGACAAUGAGUCACAGCUGGAAGGGUGGGAUAGGGGUCUGUCUAUAUUUGUGCGCGCGUGAGCCUGAAUCCUUCAGCUACGUCCAGUGCAAGCAGCAUUUGCGAUCUAGAGAAUUAUGGAUUGGAACAUUAAACUUGACAAAUCAAGAGAAGUAAAAGAAUCAGCAUUAUUUACUAGAAAUAUUCAACAGAUCCGGUGGAAGGAGAACCAAUCUUUAAUCUUUUAGGUCGAUGACUCUACAUCAAAAUUAGGCCAUGGGAUCCUUCCUGGCACGUGCUGUUUCCAGGCAGGGGCAACGUGGCAGGUUGCUGGAAGAAGUCCUGACCGGCUGUUAUCCUGCUGCCUGUCCUUUUCCCGCCUGGUAUGAAAGACCUGACAACCCCGACACAGGAGGCAUGGAGUCUGCUCUUCACUUUAUCAACAACGAUAUGGAGGUUUUAGUCAACCGGCACUUGUAAGGAGGAAGGAGGAGAGGCAGCGGCUUUUUAGCUGCAUUAGAACACAGAAUAUAGAAUAUGGAACUUGUGCUGGCCUUAUAAGCUCAAUCUAACCCUUUCCCCUUACGUAGCCCCUCCAUUUUCCUAUCAACAGUGUGCCUAUAUAAGAGUUUCUAAAAUGUCCCGAAUGUAUCUGUUUCUACCACCGCUCCUGGAGUGCUUCAUGAGUUCACCUCUCUCUGUGUAAGAACUUCUGACAUCCCCCUAUACUGUCCUCCAAUCACUUUAAAACUAUGCCCUGUCAGAUCAAGUCUUUCGUCAUCAUUCUCUCUAAAGAAAGAUGCCCCAGCUUGCUCAACCUGCCCUUGUAAGACAUGCUGACUGACCCAGGCAGUGUCCUGUUGAACCUCCUCUGCACCCUCUCUAUGGUGAGGCACAGACUGACCUUGCCUCUCUUCUAGCUAAUUCAGCUAAGGACAACUUGUCCUCUUCCUCUGGCGCACGUGCUGGAGCCCGUCAUCAACCCGUAGAGAGUGCAUGAACAGGGAAACGGAUCAUGCAUUAAAAGAACACGCAGGUUCCUUCUCGUUGAGACUGCAACCAAUGCCCUCCGUGAGUAAACAGAAAACACGAAGAGGAAUACUGGAAGAGCUCAGUCAGUCCAGUAGCAUCUGUGGAAAGACCGAUCAGGUGACCUGUUGCCCACUCAGUUGGGAAGGUCAGGUACAGGUUGACCGGAGGCAGCGGGGUCCAGGCCGCAGAGCUUAACGAAGCGAGAGAACCCGAUGUGUGGACGACGGUUUAUGCGGCAGGCCAGACUGAAAAGAUGAGUGUGCCGGGGCCUGAGGCGAGGGAAUGGGUCCUUUCAGCUCGCUGCUCCACGACCUUUACUCGGCUCUGCGCUGGACUGAGGCUGUGGCUGUGAAAGAACUCUUCCGUGAACUUCAGCGCUGAACACUAUUCACUUGAUUUUUUUUACCGUUUCUUUUCUGGCUACACGUUGGGUGUUUGACGAUUUUCAUUUUUUAAAAUGGGUUCCUUUGGGUCUCCGUGUUUUGUGGCUGCCAGUAAGAAGAGAAAUCUCAAGUUGCAUACUUCGAUAAUAAACGUACGUUGAACUUCGAACUUGUGCCCUAUACGAACAACGUUCCUUGCCGAGAAAUGGGAGAACAGUGGAGGGUUUAAAAUUUUCAAAGCAGAGCCGGGUGGGGGAGUGAAGUUUAAGGCAGAAGACUAUAUAGAGAUUGGGUGAUGAGGAGCAUGAAUAUUGAUCUUCAGUGAGGAAUAAGAAACAAAGGUGCUGGGAAAGGGACACCUGCAUAAUCACAGGGCGUAUAAUUGUAAACCCUUCAUUUUUCCCCAGUUCUGAAGAGGGUUUAUUGACUAGAAAUGUUAACUGAUUUCUCUUUCCACAGAUGCUGCAUGCCUAUUUCAGACAGUUUUAUUAGUUUUCUAUGAAUGGGCGUAAGUUAUGUGAGCUCCUCCUAUUCAGGCAUGACUAAAUACUUAAGCCUUUAUCUGCUGAUUGAGAUUUUAGAAUAACUAAAUAUGGUGAAAAUGAGGAACUUCUGCCCUUAACUGUUAUAUUUGUUUGUUGCUUUAUCAGAGUUUUGGGAUUUUGUACUGAGUUUUCAAAAUCUGUUGCCCACCACGUGCGCAGCAUGCUGCGUGUAUACGAAAGUCACUAAUUAAUUAAUGUGCCAGCUAGGAUUUGUCAUUUCAAUUCAGACAUGCGCAAAUUGCAUGUAUCUCCCCAAGUUUCAGUCAGCCACAUUAGGAAUACCCAACCUCUGGGGCGUUCACACCAGCUUUCUGGUUUACAGAAUGAACGCAGCUGAAAGCACCAAGUAAGGAAAUGUCAGAGUCAGAGAUUCAAUUUUCACUGAUUUGUCAAACUCAGACGUCAUUGAGCCAUAUAGCACAGAAACAGACCUUUUGCUCCAUUUUUUCCAAGUCAACCAUCAAGGUUCCUAGUUCCUGCUUGUUCCCCUUUUAGUUGCUAUUUUGGGUGACUUUGAAUUGGUGCGGCCUGCAGAUAUUGAACACUGAGCUGAACUGAACAUGCCUGGACUCUUUCUCUGAUAUUGCAUUUAAAAUUUUGUGUUUAUCGCUCGUUUUUUUUUAAUGUUGCCAUUUGCAUGAUUUUUUUUUUGCCUGGGGGAGAGGGUAGGUGGUUGAUGAUUUUUUUUCCUGAAUGGGUUCCAGGAUUUUCUUUGUUUCGUGGUUGUCUGUGGGGAAGACGAAUCUCAGGGUUGUAUACUUUUAUUAUGAAAGACUUUGAAUUUUUGAAUCUUUGAAGUUCUCAUCUAUACUAAUCCCAUUUCCAGCACUUAGCUUACACCUGCUUUGGCAGAGACAUCUCCACCCCACCACCCACUUUAAACACUACACUUUAAAAUCUUUACUGACCGCAGGUAACUCAACAAUAACAGAUGUGGUUCUUGCUUACAAGCUUUGAAACCCUAUCACAUUUGUUUUAUUAAUAAAAUAUUUAACUUGUCAAGAUCUUAUAUACAAGUCAAUGAUGCCAAUCACUGUAAUGUACCUUAGGGGUCUAAAUUGUGAGCGCCCUGAUUUUGAAAAACAUGACCUCUGCAGCAACUUUGAACAUUAUUUAGAUAGCCACUAUUUUAUCUCUGUUACUUCACAGACUGUGAUAAAUGUUAGUCAGACAUUAGUAUGUUACGAAUGAGGAGCAACUCCGAUGGGCAGAAGGGUACAGAAUCGCCAAUGUCCGCCCCCCCCUUUUGGAGAAUCGCAAAUCGCUACUAUUCCGAUGCUGUUAUCAAGGGAGAUGAGAGAGAUGCAGGAUAACAGAAAAGGCAGUUGUUAUUGACAACACAGGGAUACACAGAAGUGGAAUGUCUCCUUCUAACAAAAGUGGAACGGAACCACUGAUUACUGCUAUUGUCUCUUGGAGAAGGAAUUGUGUAUUGAGUACUGUACUAUUCAUUGAAACCCCUCAGGGGGCAACCAGAGUGGUCUGGUUGAGGGAUUGCAUCAUCCCAACCUGACUGACAUCUGAGACCCCAUGAGUGGGGAUAAAAGAGGGGUCUGGGGAACAACCCCUCAGACGCACCAGGAGCGAUGCUACGAGACCAGUGGGGCUUGUGUGUGUCUCCACCCUUGCCUGGGUGAUGAGUCCUCCACGGAACAGUCUAGCUAAAGGACGGAGAUGGAUCAAGAUUGUAAAAGGAAAGUCGGCAAGUUAAUAGCUGUUAUUCUCUCUCUCUUUCUCUCUCUCCAACAAUUGCAACACUGCAAACAACAACUACUGCAGCCUGUAUGAACGGAACUGAAUUUUAUAUUUCCAUCGGACAAUUCAUUAUCCCCUAGACAACGAUAGAGCUUAUUUCUUAUUGAUUAUUAUUAUACCCGCACUUUUAGGUUUAGUAUUGAUGUCGUAUAUUAUCUGUAUAUUUGCAUUGAUAUUAUUUUUGUGUAUUUUUACUAAUAAAUACUGUUAAAAAUAGUA